rnacentral:rRNA from 1 species
AACGAACGCUGGCGGCAGGCUUAACACAUGCAAGUCGAACGAGAUCUUCGGAUCUAGUGGCAGACGGGUGAGGAACACGUGGGAACAUUCCUUUCAGUUCGGAAUAACGUUGGGAAACUAACGCUAAUACCGGAUACGUCCUUCGGGAGAAAGAUUUAUCGCUGAAAGAUUGGCCCGCGUCUGAUUAGCUAGUUGGUGAGGUAACGGCUCACCAAGGCUACGAUCAGUAGCUGAUCUGAGAGGAUGAUCAGCCACAUUGGGACUGAGACACGGCCCAAACUCCUACGGGAGGCAGCAGUGGGGAAUAUUGGACAAUGGGCGCAAGCCUGAUCCAGCCAUGCCGCGUGAGUGAUGAAGGCCUUCGGGUUGUAAAGCUCUUUUGUCCGGGAAGAUAAUGACUGUACCGGAAGAAUAAGCCCCGGCAAACUUCGUGCCAGCAGCCGCCGUAA